rnacentral:tRNA from 1 species
GCCCGCGUAGCUUAGCUGGUAGAGCAAUGCUUUCGUAAAGCAGAGGUCGGCAGUUCGAAUCUGCCCGUGGGCU